AAGUACGUCGUAGUCCGGAUUGGAGUCUGCAACUCGACUCCAUGAAGUCGGAAUCGCUAGUAAUCGUAGAUCAGAAUGCUACGGUGAAUACGUUCCCGGGCCUUGUACACACCGCCCGUCACACCAUGGGAGUGGGUUGCAAAAGAAGUAGGUAGCUUAACCUUCGGGAGGGCGCUUACCACUUUGUGAUUCAUGACUGGGGUGAAGUCGUAACAAGGUUACCGUAGGGG
rnacentral:rRNA from 1 species